rnacentral:rRNA from 1 species
AGAGUUUGAUCCUGGCUCAGGAUGAACGCUGGCGGCGUGCCUAACACAUGCAAGUCGAGCGAUUCUCUUCGGAGAAGAGCGGCGGACGGGUGAGUAACGCGUGGGUAACCUGCCCUGUACACACGGAUAACAUACCGAAAGGUAUGCUAAUACGAGAUAAUAUGCUUUUAUCGCAUGGUAGAAGUAUCAAAGCUUUUGCGGUACAGGAUGGACCCGCGUCUGAUUAGCUAGUUGGUAAGGUAACGGCUUACCAAGGCGACGAUCAGUAGCCGACCUGAGAGGGUGACCGGCCACAUUGGGACUGAGACACGGCCCAAACUCCUACGGGAGGCAGCAGUGGGGAAUAUUGCACAAUGGGCGAAAGCCUGAUGCAGCAACGCCGCGUGAGCGAUGAAGGCCUUCGGGUCGUAAAGCUCUGUCCUCAAGGAAGAUAAUGACGGUACUUGAGGAGGAAGCCCCGGCUAACUACGUGCCAGCAGCCGCGGUAAUACGUAGGGGGCUAGCGUUAUCCGGAUUUACUGGGCGUAAAGGGUGCGUAGGCGGUCUUUUAAGUCAGGAGUGAAAGGCUACGGCUCAACCGUAGUAAGCUCUUGAAACUGGAGGACUUGAGUGCAGGAGAGGAGAGUGGAAUUCCUAGUGUAGCGGUGAAAUGCGUAGAUAUUAGGAGGAACACCAGUGGCGAAGGCGGCUUACUGGACGAUAACUGACGCUGAGGCUCGAAAGCGUGGGGAGCAAACAGGAUUAGAUACCCUGGUAGUCCACGCCGUAAACG